GAGAGCAGGAGACAGUGACCUUCAAGGAGUUUACAUGAAGCAGAUGUUGUGAUGCAAUGCAGUGGAUGAGCUCUCGCAGAAAACUCAAGAAAUCCAAAGCCAGAUUUCUUACAGAUAUUUAUAAACAAGCCACAACAAGACUCAUAAGGAGCAGAAGAAGGGAGAGAAGCUGUUCCUAGGAUGUGGAUUAUGGAUUGCACCUGUGCACUGGAAACAAACACAGAUUCUCCUGUGUGAGCAUGGCAGCGGUAUUGGUGUAAUGAGCUCUUCUUGGGUAAGUUAACACAACAAAUGGAUCUAGUUCCCAGUGAUGGGUCUGGGUGACAUGCUCACCCAACACAGGACAGGGAGGUAAGAAUAGGAUUAUGGGAUCUUCCAGCCCAGAGCCUGGCUUCUAGCAUCAGACAGCAUGGCCUUUUGCAUUAAGUCCACAGACAAACCCCAGUCAACACAACUGGUUCACAGAGCUCAGAGAGACACCAGCUCUAGUAAGGAGGGACAGAAAUGCAUGACCUUA
rnacentral:lncRNA from 1 species